UUUCGCAAUGCCCGAAAGGGUGACGAAGCGACGCCGCGUGGGUGAGGAAGGCCCUCGGGUUGUAAAGCCCUGUCAGGAGUUAAGAAAUGUAAGUGUGUUAAUACCACAUUUAUUUGACGAAGGCUCCAAAGGAAGCCACGGCUAACUCUGUGCCAGCAGCCGCGGUAAUACAGAGGUGGCAAGCGUUGUUCGGAAUUAUUGGGCGUAAAGAGCACGUAGGUGGGUUUGUAAGUCAGAUGUGAAAGCCUUCUGUUCAACGGAAGAAUUGCAUCUGAAACUGCAAGUCUUGAGUGUAGGAGGGGAGAAUGGAACUUCUGGUGGAGCGGUGAAAUGCGUAGAUAUCAGAAGGAACGUCGGCGGCGAAAGCGAUUCUCUGGCCUAUUACUGACACUCAGUGUGCGAAAGCUAGGGGAGCAAACGGGAUUAGAUACCCCGGUAGUCUUAGCCGUAAACGAUGGGCACUAAGUAGAGGGGUUUU
rnacentral:rRNA from 1 species